UGGGGAAUAUUGCGCAAUGGGCGAAAGCCUGACGCAGCGACGCCGCGUGAGGGAUGAAGGUUGUCGGAUCGUAAACCUCUGUCAGAAGGGAAGAAAAUCCAGGGGAGUAACUGCCCUUGGCCUGACGGUACCUUCAAAGGAAGCACCGGCUAACUCCGUG
rnacentral:rRNA from 1 species